CAUGUUGGGCCCUCUGGGGCAAGAGCUAGUCUAUCGUACUCGAUUCCCCCGAGGCCGUGGGACUUGAGUCCUUUACUUCCCCACUGCCCACUCGCUGGCCACUCCUCUGUCCCUCGUCCCGAAGUGGAAAGCGGCUCUUCCUCCACUCUGUGCGGGUCUCAGCGUAGAUUCUGUGAUCACCUCAGAACAAAUUUCUCUGCCCUUCAUAGCUACUACCGGUACUAGGGUGUCCUACCCUCAGAGCAUCUUGUUGCUCACCGGCCCUCAGCCCUGGAGCUGGGGUCUUGGUUUGGGCACCGUCGAACCGCGAAUCAUGGCUUCUAGCCAGUGUGUGGCCCCUGCACCCCCUCGCCCAACUAUCUUUGUCUAUACCGGGCCUCCCCACAGGGCCCUGCCCCACGUGUUCUUCAAAGACUACACUGGUGACUCAGAGUUGACUCCAUUCUUGCUAUAGAAGUUGCAUCAUCCAUCUCUUUCAACAGGGCUUGUAAUACUGCAGUAACACUGACCCUUCUUUAGGUUGCAUCAGUCCAUUAUCAAGAUAGAAAUCACCAUUCAGCCACAUUACAGCUUCAUAUCAAUUUAAGCAAAUUUCCUGUAUAUAUCACAAUCUACUUCCAUUAACAACAAAGCUCUCAAUUUCAGCCUCACCCUUGAUUGAUCCAGUAACUAUUUCCAGCUCCCCUUUUUCUAAGGUGUAGGAAAGUUAUAUCUGGCUAACUUCUGAAGAGAAUUGAGUGUAUUGGUUGUAGUAUCUUAAAAACCAACAUAUUAGGUGUAUGUUACAGUGUAUUUCAAAGUGUGGUCAUUUAUGAAUUGAAUGGUAAAAUGGGUAGAUAUAUCUUGUCUGCUGAAUGUUUAAUGCCGAUGAUAGUACCAAGUUAUCAAUAUUUAAGUGCUAGACACUAAACUAAAUGCUUUGUGUGCAUUAUCUCUUAAUCCUUAGGAAAACAUUUUUUAACCCCUAUUUUAGAGCUAAGGAAUCUGAAGCCCCAAGAGAUAACGAAACGCCCAGGAGAUCACACAGCUAAGAAGAUAAUAGAGCCAGGACUUGAGCCUUGGCAGUUUGAUUUUUAAUUUCUGCAGUCUAGGUUGUCACCCUGAGCUUUGGGUUUAUAAGACUUCUCAUUUUAGGAUAUAGAGUAGUUAACACAGUUUGCAAAUAUUUUGAUAAUAGGUCAUAGACAAGUGAAAUUUUAUUCAGUAAUUGGUUGUUUCACUUGUACUUCUAGGGGUAAGAAAAUUUGUAUUUCCCAUCUGAUUUGACAAAGAUAAGCAGAGUUAGGACUGAUUAGGAUUGGAUGUCAUCUAGCUCCUAAAUCUUCCUUUCUGAAAGAGAAUUAAAGGCAGAGUGGAAAAGGAAAAAAGCCUAUGUAAUUGACAAGUUGAAUCUUUAGACCCUGAUAAUUGGGGAAUUUUUCAAAUUCCUUUGAAAAAUUCGUCAGAGAGAUUCAACUAAAAGAUAGGGCACAGAACUGAAGGAAAAAAAAACAACCCAGAGCCUCAGUUUCUUCAUCAAUUGAAUGUCAGAUUUUUGUCUUGCCUCUCUUAGUGGCUUGUUGCAAGGACAAAAUGAGAUAUGUGAAAAUACUUGGAUAAUUGUAGAAUAGUGGUAAUAUUAUUAAUCACAUAAAUACACUAUGAAAAGGAAUUUCAGAAGCUUUCUAAGAAAACCACCUCUUGAGAAUCAAUUUUCAAAAUUUUUUUAAGUGAGACUAAGACAUUGUUACCUAGUUGUCCCAGCAUCAUUUUUCAUAUUAGUAUAUUUGUUAGCAUCUGUCUUAAUUACUAUAGAUAUCUAAUAAGUCUUGAUCUCCCGUAAAACCCUACCACAUUGCAAUAUUGCUCGUUCUUCAGUAGUGUCUUUGGCUACUCUUGGCACUUUGUAUUUCCAUAUAAAUUUUGGAAUUAGCCUAUCAAGUUAGCAAAAAAAAAAAAAAAAAA